rnacentral:rRNA from 1 species
UACGUAGGGUGCAAGCGUUGUCCGGAAUUAUUGGGCGUAAAGAGCUCGUAGGCGGUGUGUCACGUCGUUCGUGAAAACCUGCAGCUUAACUGUGGGCGUGCGGUCGAUACGGGCAUCACUGGAGUUCGGCAGGGGAGACUGGAAUUCCUGGUGUAGCGGUGAAAUGCGCAGAUAUCAGGAGGAACACCGGUGGCGAAGGCGGGUCUCUGGGCCGAUACUGACGCUGAGGAGCGGAAGCGUGGGGAGCGAACAGG